UGUCAUCACGCUUGAACUUUGUUUUUCCUUUGUUUUGUAAUAGGUGAGCAAAGAUUCAGGUGUGUUGACAA
rnacentral:pre_miRNA from 1 species